rnacentral:lncRNA from 1 species
AUGUAUAAUUUAUUACUCAUGGUGUUCAAGAACACUGAGAGAUCAUUCUCAUAUCUUCCAGAUGAAAAGCAUGAGCUACCUUGGAUACCAUUACUGAGGAUGAACUAAGUGUGUUGAAUUACCAGUCUGGCUCCUCUCCUUUUUCCCGGUGGAAUUGGCUCCAGCCAUUGAACAGGCUAUUGAUUCAUCCAAGGUCAUAUAAUCUAAUGAACAUCAGAGACAGAAUGAGAAUUAUUGCCAAAGACGACUCCUGCAAAGGAAGAUACGUGAGUUUUGAUGAACACACACUUGGUGACCAUGAGAAAGCUACUGAAUGUUUCAGUGCCUCAGUUUAUUCACCUGUGAAAUGGAGAUAAAUGAAUACUCCUUGAAGUGAAAUCUGCUGCCAUUCAAGUUGUUUUUCCCAAUAGGUAAGAUGUCAGUUUUCUCUGGUUGCUUUUCAGAUCAUUUUCUCUGCCUUUAGUUUUCAGAAGUUUAGUUAUGAAAUGUCCUUGUAUGGAUUUUUUUGGUUUCUCCCAUUCAGAGUUCUUCUAGCUUCUUGAC